CAAUUGGAGUUGGUUCGAGAUUAAGCCGGAAAUCGACAAGUUGUCAUGGUUGCCAAGUGGAAGCAAACGCUCGGCGAUAGAGAGGAGAGAGUUUGUUUUGCAACAAUUUGAAAGAUUCUACAGGAUGGACAUGCACUUAAAUAUCAAUGUUUACAUUUUGAGCUUUUUACAGUUUUCGGACUUGAUGCAUACCUAACAGAUUGAUGUGAAUCAGAAACUGAAAGAAAAUGUGUAUUUAUGAAAGUAUACGGGGAAUUCCCAAAAACAAUAACUGUGGCUGUGGCAACGGUGGGUUUUACAGUCCAUACAAAAUGGUGGAACGCAGCAAGCGUGGAACUGCAAAAACGCAGACAGAUUCUGCCAAAAAAAGACACAAAAGUGUGUGGAAUCGUUAAAACCCAAGUAUUUUCUUAGGAAAGGAACCGAUUAAUUGGAACUUAAUGAGAGAAGAAAACGGAAUAGACUCGAAUUCCGAUUUUUCUGGACGUUUAUUUGAUUGCUGGUUAGCUUUUGAACAUUGUCAACUUUACCGAUCUAAGAUUUUAUCAAUGUGUUGUAUGCAUUUUGCUACAUUAUAAAAUAAAGGAUUUGAAUGUUAACUA